CUACAUCUCCCAUGAGACCUUGCGGCCGCUCCUUUCACCGCGAUCCCUGAGCCAACAUGGCAGCGAAGCUGCGUGUGUUUCAGAGCAUGACACCGUGUCAAGAAGAGGUAGAAACACUGCCUUGGCUGGGGAGCUGAUUUACCCACCGUGCACCUUCACAAUGGAGGAAACGGUCCUGCAGAAUCCUGGGGCUGCUGUUGCCCAAGGACAGCUUUGGCCAGAGGGCAGCUGCUGUGUUUGGCUUCAGGCUGAUCUAGAAGGAAGACUGUUCUGGACUGGAUGUCACAAAUGACUGCUGAUAUGUCAUGAAAUGGCCACUUGUGUGUAGCCACAGGCUCUCCUCACUGCUCAGUGGUUGCUGCAGCCACACCAUGGGACCUGACCUACAGUUGGCUGGAGGAAAAAGUGGUUCCCUGCUUUCUUCUGUUCCAGAAUAAAAUAAGUUGUGGAAAAUCUUAC